rnacentral:lncRNA from 1 species
GACUAGGUGGAACUACAUGUACGAAAGUUUAGUAGUGGCGUACGAAUAUAGAAACCCAAUUAACGCUACUUAUAAUUCUCGGGAUUGUGGGGAGGAAGAAAAUGACAUGCUAACUAAUCAAGAUUGGACUAACGUUAAAAUUCUUUUAGAUUUUUUUAGAGCAUUUUCAUGUGGCUACAACUUCUUUAUCUGGCUAAUAUUAUCCAACUAUUUCUAACUGUUUAGUUUAUAUUGCCGCACUUGCUAAUUUGUUUGUUGAUUUUAACGAGGGAGGGGAAAUUUAUGAAAUUGCA